GUCAAGAUGAAUCACUUACAUUACUUUCAUGAUCUUUCUGAGUCUUCCCCAGCAGUAGAAACCUGAAUUUUUAAAAAUCCACAUCAACAAAAAAAUGAGCCGAAAAGCCAAAAACCACACGGAGGGUAUUAGUUUCCUUUGUAGUUAAGAAAUGUUCCCCUUUCUCAGGAUACGCGACAAGAAACUGGGAAGCUUCUGAAGCACCAUAGAAACUAGCUAGAAGGAAUGCUUGUUUUAGGCUGCAGUGGACAAAUGGGCGCUUGUUGCUAGAGAGAUGCUGAUAAAUAUUUAAUAUAUCUGAAUGGUGUCCAGAAAUACUGUCAUACCUGUGUUGGGUUCUCUCAGGAAAAAGAAGAAUGGCCGAUCUGCUUUAAAAAAAGGAAUCCGAGACCUUUUCAGUAACAACAGAGCUGCAGGAGGGAAAGAAUAGGAGACUAUUACAUUUUUUAUUCAUUUGAGGGAAGUCACUAUUAAAAUUGGAGUCGAGGUCAGUUAUAUCCCUUGAUUUCUGAAGAAAUCAGAACAUCCUAAUGUAUUUGUGUAGUGUUAUGAUGGGGUACAAAUGGGAAAAUUAAAGAGAAAAGAUGCCACUUAGCAACCCCGUGUCCCAUUUUCAAAAUGUUCCAUGGAAUGAAUUCCUUACUGAAGGUAAUUUUCAGAAUGA
rnacentral:lncRNA from 1 species